GCUGUUGACUGGUCCGGUGAAGUCGCUGUAGAGGUCGCUGCGGCAGCCUUGGCAAGCGAGUCAGCGACGACGGUGGCACGCGACAUGGCUGAGUGCAGAGCGAGGAACUGCUCCACGGCAAGCUGCGGGUUCUGCUCCUCUGCCGUCGAGCUCACCUCGGCAUACGAGCUGCUCAGACCAACAAACAACAGUGAAGGAAACAUUAUGGUCCAUGCAGAUGCAGGUACCCAUGGCGGGGAGGAUGAUAUAUUGAGACGUGGCAAGCCAAGUAAUAAUAAACGUGGAGUCAGAUGAGAUGUGCUCACUGUCAACUGGCCGAAGCCGAUGCAUGCAUGCAGGUGCAGGUGCAUCCAGAUCAUCACAGAGGUUGCACAGGAUGUCGGCGCCAACGUGGGCAGACCAGAAGAGCUUCAUGGCCGGCCCAUCUCACAGGAUGACAAAUCAGCAUCACCGUGCUGGAGACAACGAUGCCCAGAUUUAUCUGAUCUGUGGGAAUAGUUUCUUCACUUGUGCCAUGGCAACCGAGGCCAAUGGAAUCACUCGGUGAUUACCACUGCAAAAUUAUCGUGACUAUCACGGAGUACGAAAUUCCUACAACUACAAGAGAGCUGCACGCACGGAUCUGUGUACUGGUAGAUCUUACGAAAUUCCUGCGUCGGCCCCAUGGUCAGUCGGCAGCUGGGCCUGGGCACACUCAUCACUGGACUUAGAUCGCGCUACACCGCUGUACAUCUCACAUGUGUGUGGGGGCAUAUGGUUUCUUCCCGGUGACCACAGUGUCAUCUGCAAACAUAUGGGCCAUGCGGAGUUGCAGACAGAGUAGCCCAAUCUUUUCCGUCCCAUGAUGCAUGGCCGCAUGAUAACUGUUCCUGCUGCGGCUUUCCGUUUUUUCUGUCUGAACGUGAAAUGCAGAGGCGCAGAUGUACCUGUACCGCUAUAUUCCCUCUUUGAACUUAUUGGCUUCACAUGAAAUAAGUACUUCUGUUGGUCGCCAAAUCCUUUUUAG